CGAGCACAUCAACUUCGCAUUCGUCUAGAUGCUCUUAUCUCCUCCAGGGUGAAGGGGGCGACGAGGGCGGCGCCGUCGACGCGCGGCUCACCGGCAGAUCUUAAGAUGUCCGAAUUCUUCAAUGUGCAUCGAUUUGCCACUCCGAUGUUAAAAGUGUCUGAAUUCUUCCAAGUAUGUUGAUGUGUCUGCGUCUUCAUCAUAGUAAGAAUUUAUCCUCCCACGCAU